rnacentral:tRNA from 1 species
AGUUAAUGUAGCAAAACUUGGCCUUGCAAAAGAUCUAAGCCCUUUCCAUGGGGGCUCAAAUCCCCCCAUUAACU